GACGAACGCUGGCGGCGUGCUUAACACAUGCAAGUCGAACGGUGAAGCGCCUUCCUUUUUGGUGGGUGUGGAUGAGUGGCGAACGGGUGAGUAACACGUGAGUAACCUGCCCCCUUCUUCUGGAUAACCGCAUGAAAGUGUGGCUAAUACGGGAUAUUCUGGGUCUGUCGCAUGAUGGGUCUGGGAAAGAUAUUGUUUCGGUGGGGGAUGGGCUCGCGGCCUAUCAGCUUGUUGGUGGGGUGAUGGCCUACCAAGGCGGUGACGGGUAGCCGGCCUGAGAGGGUGGACGGUCACACGGGGACUGAGACACGGCCCAGACUCCUAAGGGAGGCAGCAGUGGGGAAUAUUGCACAAUGGGCGCAAGACUGAUGCAGCGACGCCGCGUGAGGGAUGGAGGCCUGCGGGUUGUGAACCUCUUUCGCCAGUGAAGCAGGCCUGCCUCGUUUGUGGGUGGGUUGACGGUAGCUGGAUAAGAAGCGCCGGCUAACUACGUG
rnacentral:rRNA from 1 species